rnacentral:lncRNA from 1 species
ACUGUCGUUCCAAGCAUCACAAGAUAAUGUUGAAAACCAAGAAGGAUGGCCUCGGCUGCAUCAUGUACACACCAAAAUGCCAACAGAUUAGUUGCAAUUUUUUACUACCACUGUACAAAUGCCAGCAAUAAUGGAGUUAUUACCUAAUAGCCAAGUGAAGGCGUAUCCACAACAGUUAUUUAUCUUCAAACAACAUCAAAACAAUAAAUGAAAAUUUUCCUCAAUUUGUUUGAAGUAGAGAGUGAACACCCCAGAGAAAAUUGAAGAUAAUUGGGGGGAUGGGUUGUGGUUUGGGUGAAAGACAAAUAGAAAAUGCCAAUUAGAAGAGGUAAAUGCUUAACAAAAUUGAACCAAAAGGAGUCAAUUAACAGAGAGAAGUUGGCUUCAGAUUGACUUUAACCAAAUCAAUAAGCAGAUGACUUAGAAUACCGU